rfam:Oryza glumipatula chromosome 12, whole genome shotgun sequence.
UUUAAGCACAACCAUGAGUUUUCUUGUACAACUUUGAUCAUCCGUCUUAUUUGAAAUUCUUUUUAUUUGUAUUUCUAUUGUUAUUAAAUGAUAAAAUAUGAAUAAUACGUUAUACGUGACAUAUGUUUUUUAUUUUUUAAAAAAAUUAAAUAAGACAGACGAUUAAAAUUGGACACGGAAACUCAUGGCUGCACUUAAA